GACGAACGCUGGCGGCGUGCCUAAUACAUGCAAGUCGAGCGCAGGAAACUGACGGAACUCUUCGGAGGGAAGGCAGUGGAAUGAGCGGCGGACGGGUGAGUAACACGUAAGGAACCUGCCUCAAGGAUUGGGAUAACUCCGAGAAAUCGGAGCUAAUACCGGAUAGUUCAUCGGACCGCAUGGUCCGUUGAUGAAAGGCGCUCCGGCGUCACCUUGAGAUGGCCUUGCGGUGCAUUAGCUAGUUGGUGGGGUAACGGCCACCAAGGCGACGAGGCAUAGCCGACCUGAGAGGGUGAUCGGCCACACUGGGACUGAGACACGGCCCAUACUCCUACGGGAGGCAGCAGUAGGGAAUCUUCCACAAUGGACGAAAGUCUGAUGGAGCAACGCCGCGUGAGUGAUGAAGGUUUUCGGAUCGUAAAACUCUGUUGUAAGGGAAGAACACGUACGAGAGGGAAUGCUCGUACCUUGACGGUACCUUACGAGAAAGCCACGGCUAACUACGUGCCAGCCGCCGCGGUAA
rnacentral:rRNA from 1 species